rnacentral:lncRNA from 1 species
AUUUCUAAGCUUAUUAAACCAUGCCUUAAACAUGCGAAAACAAAUUUUGAAACUAAAUGAGAAAUAAAAUAAUGAUCGAGGGUAUUAGGCACCAAAAUUUGAGUUGUUGCGUUUCAAAAUUGGCCAAACCAAACAAACCUAACUAACCAACCAAGAGCUUUUAAUCCUUAAUCAGUAAACACCUUAAGAAAAACAGUCCAAACAGUCUCGAAUAAUUUACGUGGGAGCAGAAUCAGAUCUAAGUCCCACACAACAUUAAUAACACAAAUACAUAUAAUUAAUAGCUAAACUAACAUACAUAUGAAGAAGAUUCAAGGAUAACCAUGUAACAAUCUUCAAUUCCUUCGAGCUUGAUUACAUGUUUUUGAUCUACAUUCCACAGGUCACUCAAGAGCCGAGGAAAUACCUGGAUAUCAAAGUAAAAUAAAAGAACAGGAAGUCAGCUAAGCUGCAGCAGUAUGACAUAAUCAGCCCCAACAAAAAGCAAACAGAUCCACUCCAAACUCAGAAAGAGGAUGCAACAAUCCAAAGAGUAAAGUUCAAUCGAAUAACCAAUCAGCAAAACUUCAAACCCAGUUUUUACACACCCAUAUUCAACGUAUUCUAAACCAUCAAAUGCAUUAGAAAGUAUUUUAAACUUGAAAACUUCAGGAAAUCAAAGAAAAGGAAAAGGAACUCAAUCAAACAGUGAACUUCAACCGUUUCUUUUUCUUUGAUUUUUCUAUCAAUUGGGUCUGCCUUCAAAGGCAAGAAAAAGUUACUUUAUAGGCAAGAAAAGUAGGGU